CUCCAUGGACGGUGACCCCUCCACUCCCUGGGCAGCUGUGACACUACUUGAUCUGUCUUUCAAAGAAGAAAUGUUUCCUAAUAUCCAACCUGACCCUUCCCUGAAAGGAGAAGACACCCAAAACAAGGAAAAGCACGCUCCCACACACUAUUUGCUAGUGCAAGGACUAUAAACUGGGGACAGAUGGAGGGAAGGAAACUCCAAGUCCUCAUGGAGCCUUUGCACACUGAUGGCAAUGUCAGUAGAACAAGGGAGGACAAUUUCUUGAGGACUGGACCAGAAACUGAUGGAUGAGGCAAAGCCACAGAUCAAAUGGAAACGCCACCCCUCAAGCUUUCUGAAAUACACCAGACAAGGAAGGGGUGAUUUUUCACAUGAAUUAAACACCAUAGGAGCUUGGGAAUGCUUUGGAGAUAUGCUAGGAGGAGACAAGGGCAGAAAAAAUACAACUGUAUGCACUUACAUUA